rnacentral:rRNA from 1 species
AACGUAGGUGGCAAGCGUUAUCCGGAUUCACUGGGCGUAAAGGGCAUGCAGGCGGAUGGGAAGGUAGGGCAUAAAAUCUCCAGGCUUAACCUGGAGGAGCUGUCCUAAACCACCUAUCUUGAGGCUAGAAGAGGAGAGCGGAAUUGCCGGUGUAGUGGUGAAAUGCGUAGAUAUCGGCAGGAACACCAGUGGCGAAGGCGGCUCUCUGGUCUAGGCCUGACGCUGAGAUGCGAAAGCUAGGGGAGCGAACGGG